AUGGUUAGUGGAACGAUGGUGGACAGGUGGUCGUGGUCGGCGGUGCAGGACAUGAAGGAAAAUAACCUGACAGAGGUUUUAUGUCCGUGUCGAAAAUGCAAAAGAAUAGUUUGGCUUGACCCCCAUGUCGAUGGUCGUAUCGAAGCGCACCUGCUCAUGACUGGUUUCAUGGAUGGCUAUACUCGAUGGAUAAUUGAAGAUGAGGAUGACGAUGUUGAGGAUGCCGACGGGGCAGGUAAUGAUGACACGGGGCAAGACGAAGAGAUGAUGGAUAAUGGCGGCAGGGAAGAGGCCAGACAUGGCGGCGGAGAAGGGGCCGGACAUGGCGGCGGAGAGAAUGACAUGGACUCCACGCAGUAG
rnacentral:rRNA from 1 species